rnacentral:rRNA from 1 species
GUGCCAGCAGCCGCGGUAAUACCGGCAGCCCAAGUGAUGGCCGCUGUUAUUGGGCCUAAAGCGUCCGUAGCUGGCCGCACGAGUCCGUCGGGAAAUCCGCCCGCUCAACGGGCGGCCGUCCGGCGGAACCUGUGUGGCUUGGGACCGGGAGGCCUGAGGGGUACGAUCGGGGUAGGAGUGAAAUCCUGUAAUCCCGCUCGGACCGCCGAUGGCGAAAGCACCUUGGAAGGACGGAUCCGACAGUGAGGGACGAAAGCUAGGGUCUCGAACCGGAUUAGAAACCCGUGUAGUCC